GAAGACCUGGGGUGCCCCUAGAGCCCCCCCGCUUCACGGCACGGGCCCGGAUCCCGACCCACUACGGGGCGCAGGGGAGUUCGGUGAAGUGCGCGGGACGGGUUCGGGGGCGCGCGAGACCCCAGCCUAGCGGCUGCAUCCCCACGCGCGGAUUUGGGGCCUCCUCCGCUGCCCGCCCGCCCCCUCCCCAGGCCCUGCGGUCCUUGCGCCCCUCGCCCACCCCGCGUGUCCCACGCGCUCCCCGAGCCCCCGCGAGCACCCCCGGCCCCGCAGCCCUGUUCCUGGCUGUGGGGUCUUUCCAGCCGCCUCCAGCUGCCUUCCAGAACACUCGUGACGACGGCCCCGCUGAGCCGGGGCCACGGUAGAAGCGGACCGGAGAGGAGGCAGGGGGCGGCAGCACCCUCUGGGGGCCCGGAGGCGGUGGCCGUGGGCGGGGACAGGCGGACAGCCCACGCAGCCAGCGGGGCUGAAUCAGCGCUCGGUUACAUAACACGGCCAGGGGCCGCGGGCGGGAGCUGGAAGGUUCCGCCAGCCCUCGCGGUGUUGGUUUUCAGAUGCCUGGGAAGCGGUGAGCAGGGACCUCGCCCCUCCGACUGCCCGAGCGUCAGGGCGACGGCCCGCCCUGGGCCUGGCAGCCGCCGAAGUGGACAGCGCCGGGACGCUGCGCACAGGGGCGUGGGGCGCCGGACCUGGCGCGCUCGGUGGGCGCGGCCGGACGCACACGAGGGUGUCCGGAGGCCGGGAUGAGGUCUCUGCCAGCUCUGGGCACCUCCUGCUGUGGGCGCGCCCUGCAGGGCUUGGACUGCACUGUGGAAGCUGUGUGCGUCCCGGAAGGGUCAGGACGGAGAAGGACAGCCGAGGGGAGCCGACAGGCAGGCUGGGGGUCCCCCGGUAGCAGGCUGAGGCUGAGCCGAGCUCCGGAGCCGGUGAGGAGGUGGUUGCCGGCAGCUGCGGUCCGUCCUCUCCUCCUCUCGAGGCGCCCCCAGAUCGCAGCUCUGAAGACCGUGUGGGGAGCAGCAGUGCCCCUGAGUGAGUACCCGGAGCGUCUCUCGUCCCAGCAGUCUCGGCCUCCUCUGAGGGCCACCCGCUGCCCCCAAAGCCCUCCCAUCCCACCGUUGCUCCAGGGCAGCCCCUUGUGGGUGGCAUGGGGCCCUAGUCCCUAAAGGCGACAGGUAGAAUGUCCCCAUGUGGGUGGCACUGGGGUCCUGGUCCCAGGAGGUGAGAGGCAGGUGACCCUCUGUGGGUGGCACUGGGGCCCUGGUCCGUGGAGGUGAGAGGCAGGUGACCUAUGUGGGUGGCACUGGGGCCCUGGUCCCUGGAGGUGAAGGCAGGUGACCCAUGUGGGUGGCACGGGACCCUGGUCCCUGGAGGUGAGAGGCAGGUACCCCCUGUGGGUAGCCUGGGCCCUUGUCCCUGGGGGUGAGAGGCAGGUAACUCCCUGUGGCUGGCACUGGGCCCUGGUCCCUGGUGAUGAGAGACAGGUGACCCCCUGUGGGUGGCACAGGGCCCCUGGAGGUGAGUGGCAGGUGACCCCAUGUGGGUG
rnacentral:lncRNA from 1 species